CAGCAGUUAUAAUUUUUUUUUGUAUUUUUUUCGGAUUGUUUCUAUGGGAGCUAUAAGCUGUAGUCGUCCGAUUUUGAUUUAAACCGUAAUUCUGAAAUAUUUAACCAUUACUAUAUGUCGAAGAACUGACAGAAAAAUUAAAAAACAGCAAAGUUAUAAUUUUUUGCAUUUAUUUUUCCGAUUGUUCUUAUGGGAGCUAUAUGCUAUAGUCGUCCGAUCCGGCUCGUUCCGACUUAUAUACUACCUGCAAUAGAAAGACAACUUUUGGGAAAGUUUCAUGCAGAUAACUUUUAAUCUGAGGAACUAGCUUGCGUAGAAACGGAUGGACAGACGUACGGACAGACGGACGGACAGACGGACGGACAGACGGACAUGGCUAGAUCGACUCGCCUAGUGAUGCUGAUCAAGAAUAUUUAUACUUUAUAGGGUCAAAAACGUAUCCUGCGUUGCAAACUUCUGACUGAAAUUAUUAUACCCUCUGCAAGGGUAUAAAAAUAUAUAUCUAUUAAAUACCAACAAAAAACGAAAAAAAUUAAACGAAAAAAGUUAAACGAAACGAAAAAAAACAUAAGAUGUAAAACGUCUUAACAAAUUAAUAUAAGGUUGUCAAAUAUCUCUUUCCUUUUUGUCUUUUGAAUUUCGGAGCUAAGUACAGAGCGCUACAGAACUCGUAUAUGGCAGUACUAUAAAAGGGUUGACAUAACCUACAUAACGAAGCUAUGCAUGAUUAGUUUAUAUUGCGUUGCGUUCAACAGUUAUAGGCGUGUAAGCAUGGAGUUCACUAACGAAGAAAAUCCCCAAUUUUAAAGUUUUCCUUUGUUAUAGGCAAAUCCGCUAUAUAAAGGAUCCGUGAGAUUAACGGUUUUUUGGGGGAUGAUACUCUAUCACUUCGAACCGCGAAAGAAUGAUUUCGACGCAUCAGAGCCGGUGAUAAGGAUCGCCCAAGAGAUAGGAAUUACUCACCAAACCAUUUUAAACCACCUGCAGAAGGCUGUAUACAAAAAAAAAAGAUUGGUGUUUGGGUGCACACGGCACUACGACGCUCUCUCUCCCUGCCGUUGCCGUCUCUCUUCCUGACCCUCUCUGUGCACACGGCACCACACUCUUUCCCGCACUACCGUUACUAAGGGCGAAUUCGCCGAGUAUCUGGCCACCGGUAGGCCACUGCUUGUUUGACUGCUUGUUUUUAUUCAAAGGACGAACUGUCUUCCAUCAGCACAACGACAGGCCACACACAUCUUUGGUGUCGCGCCAAAAGCUCUGGGAGCUCGAACGGGAGGUUCCUUUCCAUACACCAUAUUGUCCGGACAUCGCCUGUUUUUCUGUCCAUGGCGAACGAGCUGGGUAGUAGGAAAUUGGUCACAAAAGAGGCCCGUGAAAAUUAACUCUCCUAGUUUUUUGCCAAUAGGGAAGCAAGCUCAUUAUGAAGUUGGCAACUCGUUGGGAACUAGUCAUCCAACAAAACGGCGAACAUUUGAUUCAAAUCGGAUAAUUGCAACCAAUUUUAUGAAUAAGUGAAAAUUAAAUAAAAAUACGGCAAAACUUUUUUUAACCCUUAAAUAAAAAAAAAGAAUUCUCGACACUUA